GGGUUGUGAGGUUAAGCGACUAAGCGUACACGGUGGAUGCCCUGGCAGUCAGAGGCGAUGAAGGACGUGCUAAUCUGCGAAAAGCGUCGGUAAGGUGAUAUGAACCGUUAUAACCGGCGAUGUCCGAAUGGGGAAACCCAGUGCAAUUCGUUGCACUAUCGUUAACUGAAUACAUAGGUUAACGAGGCGAACCGGGGGAACUGAAACAUCUAAGUACCCCGAGGAAAAGAAAUCAACCGAGAUUCCCCCAGUAGCGGCGAGCGAACGGGGAGCAGCCCAGAGUCUGAAUCAGCUUGUGUGUUAGUGGAACGGUCUGGAAAGUCCGACGGUACAGGGUGAUAGUCCCGUACACCAAAAUGCACAGGUUGUGAACUCGAAGAGUAGGGCGGGACACGUGGUAUCCUGUCUGAAUAUGGGGGGACCAUCCUCCAAGGCUAAAUACUCCUGACUGACCGAUAGUGAACCAGUACCGUGAGGGAAAGGCGAAAAGAACCCCGGCGAGGGGAGUGAAAAAGAACCUGAAACCGUGUACGUACAAGCAGUGGGAGCACCUUCGGGUGUGACUGCGUACCUUUUGUAUAAUGGGUCAGCGACUUAUAUUCUGUAGCAAGGUUAACCGUAUAGGGGAGCCGCAGGGAAACCGAGUCUUAACUGGGCGUUAAGUUGCAGGGUAUAGACCCGAAACCCGGUGAUCUAGCCAUGGGCAGGUUGAAGGUUGGGUAACACUAACUGGAGGACCGAACCGACUAAUGUUGAAAAAUUAGCGGAUGACUUGUGGCUGGGGGUGAAAGGCCAAUCAAACCGGGAGAUAGCUGGUUCUCCCCGAAAGCUAUUUAGGUAGCGCCUCGUGAACUCAUCUUCGGGGGUAGAGCACUGUUUCGGCUAGGGGGUCAUCCCGACUUACCAACCCGAUGCAAACUACGAAUACCGAAGAAUGUUAUCACGGGAGACACACGGCGGGUGCUAACGUCCGUCGUGAAGAGGGAAACAACCCAGACCGCCAGCUAAGGUCCCAAAGUCAUGGUUAAGUGGGAAACGAUGUGGGAAGGCACAGACAGCCAGGAUGUUGGCUUAGAAGCAGCCAUCAUUUAAAGAAAGCGUAAUAGCUCACUGGUCGAGUCGGCCUGCGCGGAAGAUGUAACGGGGCUAAACCAUGCACCGAAGCUGCGGCAGCGACACUAUGUGUUGUUGGGUAGGGGAGCGUUCUGUAAGCCUGCGAAGGUGACCUGUGAGGGUUGCUGGAGGUAUCAGAAGUGCGAAUGCUGACAUAAGUAACGAUAAAGCGGGUGAAAAGCCCGCUCGCCGGAAGACCAAGGGUUCCUGUCCAACGUUAAUCGGGGCAGGGUGAGUCGACCCCUAAGGCGAGGCCGAAAGGCGUAGUCGAUGGGAAACAGGUUAAUAUUCCUGUACUUGGUGUUACUGCGAAGGGGGGACGGAGAAGGCUAUGUUAGCCGGGCGACGGUUGUCCCGGUUUAAGCAUGUAGGCUGGUUGUCCAGGCAAAUCCGGAUAAUCAAGGCUGAGGUGUGAUGACGAGGCACUACGGUGCUGAAGUAACAAAUGCCCUGCUUCCAGGAAAAGCCUCUAAGCAUCAGGUAACAUUAAAUCGUACCCCAAACCGACACAGGUGGUCAGGUAGAGAAUACCAAGGCGCUUGAGAGAACUCGGGUGAAGGAACUAGGCAAAAUGGUGCCGUAACUUCGGGAGAAGGCACGCUGGUGUGUAGGUGAAGCCCCUGCGGGUGGAGCUGAGACCAGUCGAAGAUACCAGCUGGCUGCAACUGUUUAUUAAAAACACAGCACUGUGCAAACACGAAAGUGGACGUAUACGGUGUGACGCCUGCCCGGUGCCGGAAGGUUAAUUGAUGGGGUUAUCCGUAAGGAGAAGCUCUUGAUCGAAGCCCCGGUAAACGGCGGCCGUAACUAUAACGGUCCUAAGGUAGCGAAAUUCCUUGUCGGGUAAGUUCCGACCUGCACGAAUGGCGUAAUGAUGGCCAGGCUGUCUCCACCCGAGACUCAGUGAAAUUGAACUCGCUGUGAAGAUGCAGUGUACCCGCGGCAAGACGGAAAGACCCCGUGAACCUUUACUAUAGCUUGACACUGAACAUUGAGCCUUGAUGUGUAGGAUAGGUGGGAGGCUUUGAAGCGUGGACGCCAGUCUGCGUGGAGCCAACCUUGAAAUACCACCCUUUAAUGUUUGAUGUUCUAACGUUGGCCCCUUACCGGGGUUGCGGACAGUGUCUGGUGGGUAGUUUGACUGGGGCGGUCUCCUCCUAAAGCGUAACGGAGGAGCACGAAGGUUAGCUAAUCCUGGUCGGACAUCAGGAGGUUAGUGCAAUGGCAUAAGCUAGCUUGACUGCGAGCGUGACGGCGCGAGCAGGUGCGAAAGCAGGUCAUAGUGAUCCGGUGGUUCUGAAUGGAAGGGCCAUCGCUCAACGGAUAAAAGGUACUCCGGGGAUAACAGGCUGAUACCGCCCAAGAGUUCAUAUCGACGGCGGUGUUUGGCACCUCGAUGUCGGCUCAUCACAUCCUGGGGCUGAAGUAGGUCCCAAGGGUAUGGCUGUUCGCCAUUUAAAGUGGUACGCGAGCUGGGUUUAGAACGUCGUGAGACAGUUCGGUCCCUAUCUGCCGUGGGCGCUGGAGAAUUGAGGGGGGCUGCUCCUAGUACGAGAGGACCGGAGUGGACGCAUCACUGGUGUUCGGGUUGUCAUGCCAAUGGCACUGCCCGGUAGCUAAAUGCGGAAGAGAUAAGUGCUGAAAGCAUCUAAGCACGAAACUUGCCCCGAGAUGAGUUCUCCCUGAGACUUUAAGUCUCCUGAAGGAACGUUGAAGACGACGACGUUGAUAGGCCGGGUGUGUAAGCGCAGCGAUGCGUUGAGCUAACCGGUACUAAUGAACCGUGAGGCUUAACCUUACAACGCCGAAG
rnacentral:rRNA from 3 species